UUCCGCACUGUGUCUGCCCAUUA
rnacentral:piRNA from 1 species